CGUGGUCAGCCGGAGCCAUUAGGCAGAGUUCAUGUCUCUGGACGGAUGAAACAGCGCAGCGGGCAGGGGCGGAGUGGUGGCGGCGACGACGACAUGUGAAGCAUCGUUUACAAAGAAGUCGUGGGAAUAACAUAGCGC
rnacentral:lncRNA from 1 species